rnacentral:rRNA from 1 species
AUUGGACGCUGGCGGAAUGCUUUACACAUGCAAGUCGAACGGUAGAGGGGGCAACCCCUCGAGAGUGGCGAACGGGUGAGUAAUAUAUCGGAACGUGCCCAGUCGUGGGGGAUAACGUAGCGAAAGUUACGCUAAUACCGCAUACGAUCUAAGGAUGAAAGUGGGGGAUCGCAAGACCUCGCGCGAUUGGAGCGGCCGAUAUCAGAUUAGGUAGUUGGUGGGGUAAAGGCUCACCAAGCCAACGAUCUGUAGCUGGUCUGAGAGGACGACCAGCCACACUGGAGCUGAGACACGGUCCAGACUCCUACGGGAGGCAGCAGUGGGGAAUUUUGGACAAUGGACGCAAGUCUGGUCCAGCCAUUCCGCGUGCAGGAUGAAGGCCCUCGGGUUGUAAACUGCUUUUGUACGGAACGAAAAGGUCUCUCUUAAUACGGGGGACUCAUGACGGUACCGUAAGAAUAAGCACCGGCUAACUACGUGCCAGCCGCCGCAGUAA